rnacentral:rRNA from 1 species
AAGCAGGGGAUCGUAAGACCUUGCGCUUUUGGAGUGGCCGAUGCCUGAUUAGCUAGUUGGUGGGGUAAGGGCCUACCAAGGCAACGAUCAGUAGUUGGUCUGAGAGGACGACCAGCCACACUGGGACUGAGACACGGCCCAGACUCCUACGGGAGGCAGCAGUGGGGAAUUUUGGACAAUGGGCGAAAGCCUGAUCCAGCAAUGCCGCGUGAGUGAAGAAGGCCUUCGGGUUGUAAAGCUCUUUUAGUCGAGAAGAAAAGGUUGUGACUAAUAAUCACAACUUAUGACGGUACCGACAGAAGAAGCACCGGCUAACUACGUGCCAGCAGCCGCGGUAAUACGUAGGGUGCGAGCGUUAAUCGGAAUUACUGGGCGUAAAGGGUGCGCAGGCGGCUUUGUAAGUCAGAUGUGAAAUCCCCGGGCUUAACCUGGGAAUUGCGUUUGAAACUACAAAGCUUAG